rnacentral:tmRNA from 1 species
GGGGAUAUAAUGGUUUCGACAUGUGUGGGUUCUUAGUUAUGGCAGUAGUGCGGGAGACUAUAAUUCCUACUAGGCUUUCUUAAACGGAAAAUCUGAAGAAAAAGUUGCUACAUUAAGUAUGUACCAACAACAAGCAAACCUUGCUUUUGCGUAAUUAUUAGCUAGCAAGUUGUUUAAUUAAUGCUCCUUACGUUAAUUAAACAGGUCUAAUAAGGAUAGUUAUUAAGUUUGCGCCUUAAUAAUGAAAGUAGCAAAAUAAUAUAAGUUGUUUUGGUUAUUUUUUGCUUGUAUUAUUAUUAAAAUAACCUAAACUGUAGAAGUAGCUAAGCAUUUACAUGUGGACACGGGUUCGACUCCCGUUAUCUCCACCA